AAGGGACAGGGUCUCUCUAUGUUACUGGUCUUGAACUACUGGCCCCAAGCAAUCCUUGUGCUUCAGCCACCCAAAGUGCUAGGAUUACAGGCCUGAGCCACCACUCCCGACCCUGGCAUUUUCUUACAUAAGGUAGCAGUAGUCAUUUUAUGUGGCCUCACUUGUAACUACAAGUCAUAAAGCUCAUGCUAUUAAUUUUCUGUGGCAAUUUUCUACCAUUAAUUUGGUGUCCGAGAAGAGAAAAAGGUAUGAAGGGCGUGAGACGUUAAACAGGAAUGGCAGAAAGAACCCAGGGGAAAAGCAGAAUGUACCUCUGGAUCCUAUUUGUAUACAAGUGGGUUUCUGUUUUUUUCUCCUUAACCAUCACACACAUGUAAGAUGUAGUUUUCCGUGUCGAAGCCGUACAGUCAGGUGUCACUUGGUUAUGGGGAAGUGCUUCGUGCGGCGAUUCCGUCGUCGUGAGAACGUCAGAGUGGACUUAGACAAACCUGGAUGGUAGAGCCUGUUGCUCCUAUGCUUCAGAUGCGUACAACGUGUUCCUGUGCUGAAUGCUGUAAGCAAUUGUAACACGUUGGUAAUUAUUUAUGUAUCUAAACAUAGAAAAGGGACAGUAAAAAUACAGUGUUGUAGUCUUAUGGGACCACUGUUGCGUAUGUGACCCGUCGUUGACUGAAAUGUGAUGCAGUGUGUGACUGUGCCUUCAGCAUUUGCUCCUGAUGACAGAGGUGAAGAUUGCUGAGUGCCCCCAUAGACAGCAUAGACAGCAGAGAUGGUGAUUCGGAGGCUCGCUCUUCGUGGCUUUCUUGAGUUCUAUGUCAUGUAUAUGUUACAUGCCAGGAAAUUCACCCACAGUUUGUUGAGUUUUAAGAAAUGCUUCUAGUUGUGUACCUGAUACCACAAUCCAGUUUUAGAACAUUUCCAUCCCCCAGAAAGUUCCUUGUGUCCAUUUGUAGUCAAUCCCCACUCCUCCUCCUAGCCCCAGGCGAAUACGGGUCGGCUUUCUGGUUUAUAGUUACCUUUUCUAGAAAUGUCCUGUAAUUGAAUCAUAACUACUCAGUCUGCUGAAUCUGCUCCUUUCGUUGUAAAGUUUGAGUUCCAGUGGGGUUGCUGUAUCACUAAUUCCUUUUUAUUUUAAAGUCGUAUUGCAUUGUAUGGAUAUAUACUACAUUUUGUGGAUCCACUUACUGGUUAUGAGACAUUUGGAAUUUUUUUUGCAGUUUUUGACUAUUAGGAGUAAUGCAUCUGUGGACACUGGUGUAACUGUCUUUGUGUAGACAUAUGUUUUCAUUUCUCCUGGGUGGAUACCUAGGCCUUGAAUGGCUUGGCUGUAUGGCAGGUAUAUGUUUAACUUUUUAAGAAGUUGCUAGACUGUUUUCCAAAUUAGCUGAACCAUUUCCAUUUCCAGCGGCAGUGUUGAAGGUUUUCAGUUUCUCUCCCUCCUUGUCAGCUCCUGGUAUUGUCAGACUUCUUUAUUUUAGCCACUCUGGUGGGUGUUCAAACACGCUUUCUUAUACUUAACGUUCUAUUUCUUGAGAGGAUUUGAAAGUGUCUAGAUACCUUAAUGCUGCUCUUGUCUUCCACUUUACAGACCAGAAGGCGUUGGCCCGGUAAGUGGGAAAUCUGAAUGUCUCACACGAGAUUCCCGAAUGAGUCACUGAGCCUAGAAUCUUCAUGCGUCAGUUGGAGUUGGAGCAACCUGCUUUUGUUCUCUCAACUCUUGUGACGCGGAAUCCUCUGUGUCCUUGUAGCAUUGUUAGGUGUGUCUUUCUUUUUAUCCUUUCAGAAUCAUCUGUUCUUGUCCUCUGUGGAAUUGUGUCUGAUGACACGCAGCUUGUUUUCUGCAGAAGUUUGCUAGUGUCGUGCAGAGGUUCUCGCUGCCUCUGGGCUGCAGCACACAGGCGCUGGGCGGUCAGACCUGGUUUCCAAGGCUGGCUCCACACGACUGUGUACCGCGUGUCACCCUGUGAAAGGGCAGACGCGUGCCUGUCAGAGCCUUGUGGGAGUUAGUGAGGGGACUUCUCUGAGGCAGCUGGUACUCACUCAAUACUUAAUGCAUCUUAAGGCACCUCUUCACAGAAGGCGGUGGAAGGCUGCCUACGUGAUGGCGUGUAGAUAGCGAUGCCAUCCGUUUGUUUUUUUCUUCUCCGUGACAGAGAAACAGGAAAACAUUCCUAAAUUUAUUUAUAGAUGUUAAAAAAAAAAAUUAGGCUUGUUUUUUUCCGGUAACUGUUCUCCAGCCAGCAGCAAGUAUAGCAACAGUACUUUUAUGAGUUGGUAUGUUUAUUCCCUGUCUUUUGGCUUUAUUCAAGAAAACCAGUUGUGUUUCUCAGAGCAACUGUAUUGUUUCAGUUGCCACUCUCUUCACUCUAUCCAUUACAGUAUAAUAACUGUCCUUGUCCCUUCUCCAGAUUGGAAGCUCCCUAGGUAGUGGUCAGGCUGUUGAUGAGAUUUGUAUUCUAGCAAAGCUCCAUUUUAGAUAAUCUUUCAUCAUUUUUUAUAUGCAAUAAGUCACUGGUUUUGUUUCUUUUGUUCAGUUUUAAUUUGAAGUUCCUUUAAAGACUGUUGGAGCUUUUGCAAAUACCCAGCUAAUGAAGGGCACUUAAGAUUGGACCCAUCUCCUGCAUCAGCACAUUGAAGUUUUCUGUCUAAAGGAGGGUUCCAGCUGCCUGUUACCCUUUUGCUGAACGCAGUUGCGGUGUUGCAGUGUAUUUCAUGACAAAAGUGCACUCUAGCUUUCUGUGAAAGGAUUAUUUUCUCUGAAAUGAUUCUUGGUCAUGUUGAGUUUCUAAAUGUUAAAGAGCACAUAGUGUUUUUGACUGUGGAGAUCUCAUCUUGGUACCGUGGUGCUGCACAGGCCAUCAAAGAACUGAAAAGUUGAGGCAACUUGAGAAAAUAAAGUCACCACCAGCAAGAAGCUGUCUAAAAUAACCGGAAGAUUAUAACCCCCGCACCCGGAGGAGUGUGCUAGUGAGUAGAAUGUCUGAAAGCUACUGGAGGUCCUCCACAGAUGCGUGUGCUGGUCCUAAGGAGAAGGAAGAGGACGAGGAUUGCCCCGGAGGAACACCUGAAGUUCCAGUUGAGCACUUCGUUUGGGAAGCUGUCCAAGGCUGGAGUUGUGAUUUUUGGGAAAGGCCUCACAAGCUUCUCUAAUUCAAGCCCUUGUUUUACGUGUGAGAAUGCAGAGGUCCUGAGAAGUGUUGGUUCCCAGGCCUGCACGCUGGCUGAAACUAGAGCCGGGGUCUCCUGUUGCUUUUUCCAGCUGUCUGCCUGCGCAAGCAUGGAGGCAAAGCUGCGCUGGGUUCCAGCUACAUUGCUGUGUGCAUCUGACUCUUGACUCACGCUCUGACCGACGCCUUCGUUUCUGGAGAACUGCCCUGUUUCAUGCAAGAGUCACUGUCAUCAGGAGCCAUCUCAGGGAGAGGCUCAGGGGGAGGUGUGAAGGUGGAGCAAGUGCACCAGCUCCAGAACAGAAGGUGAAGAAGGACUGUUUCUGUUUAGAUUUGCUUAACCUCAUAUUCACUUUCUUGGGAACCCCUGAUGGAGUUCGAGGUCAUAGAAGAGAAGAAAUCAGACACUGCUACAGGACUCCUGCUCUUGGGUUCAGAUUCUUCAAUGGGAGGGGAGAAGAGAGUAAUCACAAGUGAUUGUUGUAGAUUUUGUCUCAGCUUUUUUUGUGUGUCAAACCUGUGUUGAGAUGAUACACGGUUACAGAGAAAGGAGAGGAGGCGUAUUAUAAAUGUGUGUGGACUUCAGUGUUAUUCCUUCUCUUCAAAAUGAUCUUCCAGGUGUCUAGAGGGUGAGGUAUGUCAUUUACAUGAAGAUUAAGAAUAAAAAAGAAAGUACCUCUAUGGUA